ensembl:snRNA LOC120102581 U6 spliceosomal RNA
GUGUUUGCUUUGGCAACAUUUGUACUAAAAUUGGAACAACACAGAGAAGAUUAGCAUGGUCCUUUAGUAAGGAUGAUAUACAAAUUCAUAAAGAAUUCCAUAUUUUC